UCAUUCAUUUAAAUACAGAAAAAAAAUAUAGACAAUGAGAAAAAAAGUUAAGACCUUGCGUUACAAAACCGUUGAGAUCGUACAAUCAAAUCAUUACCAGCAUUUUGGACAACAGAUAUCAUUUUGAAUACACACGUAAAUGUAUGCAAAUUCCAGCUUUUGAGUGCCAAGGCUCUUUACAAGAGAAGAAAAGACUAGAAAUCAACAAGACACAAAAAUAGAAAUAAACAAUAAACAAAACAACACACGUAUACUUAACGAUGUGAAAAUGUGCAAAACAAAGCAUUUGUUUAAAAACCAGCAAUUAGGCACGCACCCGCACAAAAAAAAAAAAUAAUAAUAAUGUCUUAAGACAUGCAAGCGCUGUAAAAUGACAUUUCAAUGAAGUCGCCAAAUGAUUUAAUUCAACAGCAAUCUAGCUACACACACAUGAGAAAUGCCAAUGCCCAGCGUCUAGCAAACCUGCUUCAACUAACAUGAGACGCUACCUUGGCAUUUAAAAUGUGGCAAAGUGCAAAAAAAAAAGUUUAUUUUUUAAGCGAGCUGCUCGCAACAGGAAGAUCGACAAAAAAGCCGUCGAAAUUUCUUAAUAGAAGCACCAAAAGGCAAGAAAACAAAAAAUAAACAAGUUGGAGCCACAGAUUAAAUGUUAAUAGCACUAAAGCCGAAGCUGAAGCCGGCAACAAACGAAUCGAAAAACCGGAUUUGUGGCACAGAACAAUGCGCGCAUAAAUCUCGCGACAGCUUGAAAUGCAAUUCACCAAAGCGCCGAAUGAAAGAUUGUCAGGGAUUAACGACACAGCUUCGGCAGUCAACCAAGUGGACAGCAUAUCAAGCAU